CCUACGGGGGGCAGCAGUGAGGAAUAUUGGUCAAUGGGCGAGAGCCUGAACCAGCCAAGUCGCGUGAAGGAUGACGGCCCUACGGGUUGUAAACUUCUUUUGUCAGGGAGCAAUUGGGUCCACGCGUGGGCUUAGCGAGAGUACCUGAAGAAAAAGCAUCGGCUAACUCCGUGCCAGCAGCCGAGGUAAUACGGAGGAUGCGAGCGUUAUCCGGAUUUAUUGGGUUUAAAGGGUGCGUAGGCGGAAUAUCAAGUCAGCGGUAAAAAUUCGGGGCUCAACCCCGUCGUGCCGUUGAAACUGAUGGUCUUGAGUGGGAGAGAAGUAUGCGGAAUGCGUGGUGUAGCGGUGAAAUGCAUAGAUAUCACGCAGAACUCCGAUUGCGAAGGCAGCAUACCGGCGCCCAACUGACGCUGAAGCACGAAAGCGUGGGUAUCGAACAGGAUUAGAUACCCUUGUAGUC
rnacentral:rRNA from 1 species